UGUCGUUCAGUAUGUAUAUGGACCAGCCUCGUGUGUCAUGCAGUAUGUUUUCUGUCCGAUAUGUUUUGUCUUUCCAGAGCUGCCGUGAUGGAGGCCGGACUCGUGUGGGACCGCGGAGAUGCCGGGCCAAGAGGGGGAGACAUCACAAAGAGUCACACCAAGAUAGAUAGGUCAAUUUAGGUCAACAAAUGUCAACAGUGUGUUAAUGAGGAUAGGUUAUCACUGGUUAGCUGUCUAAUCAUUGGGAGUGACUAGUGUGCAGAGCUCGGCAACAUUAUGGAAUACUAAAUGAUAUCAAGUGAUUGUGUCUAGUUUUUAGUUUACUCUCUCCUCCUCCUCCUCCUCUCUGUCUAUCUUCAUCCCUUCCUUUUAAUAAAUAAGUUAUCUUUUGCUUAAUUAACGUUUAUAAUUCUUUCUGGUGGUCAAAUCUUGCAUCUCAUUUCCUUAUCGUCCAUUCUCUCUCCUCCUCCUCCUCCUCCUCCUGCUCAUAAUCCAAUUCCUUCUAUUCUCCUUUAUUCCUUUUUCACUUUCCCUCCUUCUCUUUUCCAUUCCCCUUCCCCGACUUUCCUCCAUUCUUUCCUCCUCUAUUCUUCCUUCAUCUCCUUCUCCUUUUUCUCCUUUCACUCCUCCUCCUCCUCUGUCUAUCUUCAUCCCUUCCUUCCUUUUAAUUAAUGUCUAUAUAAGUUAUCUUUUGCUCAAGGUUCUUUCCAGUGUGUUUGUGGUGUCCGGCUCUGCUUGCUAGUUUGUUUUGUCACUGUAUAAUUGUCAAUCCUAGUUUUUGUCACUGUAUAAUUGUCAGCCCUAGUUUGUUUUGUCACUGUAUAAUUGUGAGUCCUAGUUUGUUUUGUCACUGUAUAAUUGUCAGUCCCAGCCAGGCGCCUCUUCCAUGUAAAGAUAUCGGCAGCUUCAAGCCUUGCCGAUAUCUCAAUCCGUACGUGAAUGUAAAUUAACCGAAAUCCUUGUUACUAAGCCCUGCACGGUGCUCUCACAUACUGCUUCUUUAAAUUUUCAGUCUCACUUAACUUCCGGGGUUAGUAAUAUAUUUUGCCAUGAGUUAACUCCCCGUGAUGGCCAGUUUCAUGUACUAUAUAUAAGUAAUUUGCCUUUUGCAUGGCUGUAAUUCUGCAUCCGUGUCUAAGGCCCAGUUUCACAGUUCCUCGUGAUGGGUUAGUAAGCUCCGAAACCAAUACCAGAGCCUUCGAAAUUUCCUUGUACGGUGUCUGGAGUUUAUAUUCAAGUUCACAAAUUUGACGAGACUAUACAGGAAAGGUCUUGUGUGUUUAUGGUACGAAGGAAAGGGAGGAGAAGGGAGAUGAGAUUGGGAGACGAGUGAGCCGAGAUCCUGUUUAUAUUCCAGUUCACAAAUUUGACGAGACUAUACAGGAAAGGUCUUAUAUUGUCAUGAUACGAAGGAAAGGGAGGAGAAGGGAGAUGAGAUUGAAAGAUGAGUGAGCUGAGAUGGUGUUUAUAUUCAAGUUCACAAGUUUGAUGAGACUAUACAGGAAAGGUCUUGUGUGUUUAUGGUACGUAGGAAAGGGAGGGGAAGGGAGAUGAGAUUGGGAGAUGAGUGAGCCGAGAUGGUGUUUAUAUUCAAGUUCACAAGUUUGACGAGACUAUACAGGAAAGGUCUUGUGUGUUUAUGGUACGUAGGAAAGGGAGGAGAAGGGAGAUGAGAUUGGGAGACGAGUGAGCCGAGAUCCUGUUUAUAUUCAAGUUCACAAAUUUGACAAGACUAUACAGGAAAAGCUGUGUUUAUGAUAUGAAGGAAAGGGAAGAGAAGGGAGAUGAGUAAGCUGAGAUCCUGUUUAUAUUCAAGUCCACAAAUUUGACAACACAAUACAGGAAAAGCUCUGUGUAUUUAGUGUGUCAUCGAAGACCGCGCCAUUUAGAACAGUAUGGGAUUCUAUAGCUUGGUUCGGGAGUGUUACAAAGACCAUGAUGGACUGUGGAAGCGGCCCUUAAUGUUCCCUUUUCUAAUAUGCUUCUCUGUUUUUGCAGGAUGCCGCGGACGGACCAUGCAGAGGACUCAUCGCGACGACACCAACGGUUUGGUUAAGUGGGUUCUCUUGUGUGUGCGUCUGUGUGUGAAUGGCAGGCCUGUCGUAUGAUUGUGUGUGUGUGUGCGUUGGCGGUAUGCCUUCGCACUAUUAUUUUGUUAGGAUGUAUUUUUUUGUGUGUGAACUUUUUGCACGUAAUCUUUUUUUAUACCCAUAGCUAGCGUUUGUUUGUGUAGCUGUGUUCCGGGAGAUGGGCGCCGGGGGACAUGGGCUGGGGGGGGCGCACGUGACCUCCUCUGUCCGUGACCUCUUCAGCUGGGGAGACCGCGUGUUGCCCCGGCUGGAGAGACACGUUGAUGGAGGCGGCUGCGUGUGUCGUCCCUUGCCUGUAUCCUCUGGCGUCCAGAGGCGCGUAAGUGGAGAGCAUCGGCGCAGCGCGGGAGCAGCACGUCAGGGUGUAGGGUGUUUGUUUAGCUGGUGUAGGGUGUUAGGGUGUUAGGGUGUUAGGUGUAACAACGGUUGGCUCUUUCACAGAACGGGUGUGAUUCCGUUCUGCGUUUGAGUCUUCCACCUUCAGACGGUCUCCCUCCGAGAUGUCUGAAGUUUUUUUUGUCGGUUUUCUCCUUAGGAGGAAGCCGACUCUAGCUACUCUGGCCUCUCUUCCGGGGGUCAGAGCGGUCGGGCUCUGCUUGGCCA